rnacentral:misc_RNA from 1 species
GAUGAAGAACGUAGUGAAAUGCGAUAAGUAAUGUGAAUUGCAGAAUUCAGUGAAUCAUCGAAUCUUUGAACGCACAUUGCGCCCCUUGGUAUUCCGAGGGGCAUGCCUGUUCGAGCGUCAUAUUAACCACUCCCGCUUGCGGGGUCUUGGGCUUCGCCUCCGGGCGGGCCUUAAAAUCAGUGGCGGUGCCGUCGGGCUCUACGCGUAGUAAAUUUUCUCGCGAUAGGGUCCCGGUGGAUGCUUGCCAACAACCCCCAACUUCUUAAGGUUGACCUCGGAUCAGGUAGGGAUACCCGCUGAACUUAAGCAUAUCAAUAACGGAGGA